CGCUAUCAUCCUACGGGAGGCAGCAGUGGGGAAUAUUGCACAAUGGGCGCAAGCCUGAUGCAGCCAUGCCGCGUGUAUGAAGAAGGCCUUCGGGUUGUAAAGUACUUUCAGCAGUGAGGAAGGCGGGUGUGUUAAUAGCACAUUCGUUUGACGUUAGCUGCAGAAGAAGCACCGGCUAACUCCGUGCCAGCAGCCGCGGUAAUACGGAGGGUGCGAGCGUUAAUCGGAAUUACUGGGCGUAAAGCGCAUGCAGGUGGUUUGUUAAGUCAGAUGUGAAAGCCCGGGGCUCAACCUCGGAAUUGCAUUUGAAACUGGCAGACUAGAGUACUGUAGAGGGGGUAGAAUUUCAGGUGUAGCGGUGAAAAUGCGUAGAGAUCUGAAGGAAUACCGGUGGCGAAGGCGGCCCCCUGGACAGAUACUGACACUCAGAUGCGAAAGCGUGGGGAGCAAACAGGAUUAGAUACCCUGGUAG
rnacentral:rRNA from 1 species